UCAUAUACCUGGCAGGGCAGAUACCAUGAUCACGAAGGUGGUUUUCCCAGGGCGAGGCUUAUCCGUUGCACGCUGGAUGUGCGGACCCCGGCGAUUUCCUCAAGUGUGGGAAAGUCGACUGCACAAUUUGUGGUAGUGGGGGACUUCGCGCUUUCUCCUG
rnacentral:snRNA from 1 species